GUUUGGACCCCGACGUAUUCCCUUACCUUCUCGUUCUGAACGCAAUGGAACACAAAGAUAAACAGCCCCUGCAGACUAUUCAAUAUGGUGAAGAUGUACGCCAUCACGACGGAUUCUUGGUUCAAGUAGAGAAGCCCGAAGGUCCAGUUCCUGAUCUACUAGAAACGAUCAAGACUGCGGAUCUACGGGAGGAUCGGGUACACGAACUACACAGGCCUUAUACCGGAAACUAAAGGAUAAAUACAGCAUGCGGUUUAAGUCGUCGUAUAUGUACUCAGAGGAAAGGCAAACAGCGUGAUGUAACUAAGAAAUUCGGAGAAUAUCGAUCGUCGCCACGUGUCAAGCAUUAUCACGAGGAUACCACGCUACUUAAGCCAUUGAUAAUUGCAAAUUGCCCAGGCUUUUCUAAACCGAUACAAAAUAAUAUAACAAUGAGGAUAAUAACAUUUGCGAUUCCAGUGAGUCACACGAUCAAUGAUCGUUCGAUUAAACGAUCAGCGUGACUUUGUUUUUCCCGUGAACAGACUAUGUACUACGUUCUACGUUCUACAGUCGCAAAAAAAAAAAAAAAGAAAAAAUGAUAAAAUGAAACAAUUAUCGUAUCAGUAGCUUUGAAUUAUUAACGAAAAAGAAACAAGAGAAAACAGUGAACUUGUUAAAUGAAAGAAUGGUGAAAUUAAAGGCAUGUGAAACGACGAUUAGUAAUAGAAUGAUGUAACGGUGAAUGAACGAGAUGUGGGUAAUAAUAAAAAUUGGUAAAUA